rnacentral:rRNA from 1 species
UACGUAGGGGGCUAGCGUUGUCCGGAAUCAUUGGGCGUAAAGAGCGUGUAGGCGGCCCGGUAAGUCCGCUGUGAAAGUCGGGGGCUCAACCCUCGAAUGCCGGUGGAUACUGUCGGGCUAGAGUGCGGAAGAGGCGAGUGGAAUUCCUGGUGUAGCGGUGAAAUGCGCAGAUAUCAGGAGGAACACCGAUGGCGAAGGCGGUUCUCUGGGCAUUACCUGACGCUGAGGAGCGAAAGUGUGGGGAGCGAACAGG